AUCCCCGUCGAGUAGUCGGCAGGGCUCGACGGCGUUUCCUAAACGUGGUGUCGCAGGUUCGAUUCCUGCCGGGGGCGCCC
rnacentral:tRNA from 1 species